rnacentral:rRNA from 1 species
AAGUCGUAACAAGGUCUCCGUAGGUGAACCUGCGGAGGGAUCAUUCAUGAAUGACCACGGUCUUCAACCAUUCUACCCUUGUGGAGUAUCAGUCGUGCCUUCGGCCCUCUGGGCCGGCUUUAAUGCGGUUGACUUUGUCUGACACAUUGAUGAAAAUCAAAACUUUCAACAAAGGAUCUCUUGGCUCUUGCAUCGAUGAAGAACGCAGCAAAGCGCGAAAUGUAUUGUGAAUUGCAGAAUUUGUGAAUCAUCGAAUCUUUGAACGCACAUUGCGCCUCCUGUUACAGGGAGGCAUGCCUGUCUGAGCGUCGGUUAAACCCAUAUGCCCGUGCAUGUGUUGGGCCCUCGCCGGCGACGGCGUGGCCUCGAAGCGAUAGGCUUGAGAGCGGAUGAAGUCCCCUGGGAUCGACCGCCCUCCGCCAUGGUAUCUGACACUAGACCUCAGAUCAGGUAGGACCACCGCCUGAACUUAA